GAUGAACGCUGACAGAAUGCUUAACACAUGCAAGUCAACUUGAAUUUGGGUUUUUACCUUAGGUUUGGGUGGCGGACGGGUGAGUAACGCGUAAAGAACUUGCCUCACAGCUAGGGACAACAUUUGGAAACGAAUGCUAAUACCUAAUAUUAUGAUAAUAGGGCAUCCUAUAAUUAUGAAAGCUAUAAGCGCUGUGAGAGAGCUUUGCGUCCCAUUAGCUAGUUGGAGAGGUAACGGCUCACCAAGGCGAUGAUGGGUAGCCGGCCUGAGAGGGUGAUCGGCCACAAGGGGACUGAGACACGGACCUUACUCCUACGGGAGGCAGCAGUGGGGAAUAUUGGACAAUGGACCGAGAGUCUGAUCCAGCAAUUCUGUGUGCACGAUGAAGUUUUUCGGAAUGUAAAGUGCUUUCAGUUGGGAAGAAACAAAUGACGGUACCAACAGAAGAAGUGACGGCUAAAUACGUG
rnacentral:rRNA from 1 species